rnacentral:misc_RNA from 1 species
UAAUAAAAGUGUUUUAUGGCACUUUUCAAACAAAUCCAUAUCCACCUUGUGUGCAAUGUUUUUUUUUUUUUUAAAUAAACACUUUAUUUUUAAUUGCCAAUUUAUCUGAAGAUCAGUAUUAUUAUGAAUUAACUUAAUUCAAAAUA